rnacentral:rRNA from 1 species
CGAUAACGAACGAGACCUUAACCUGCUAAAUAGCCCGUAUUGCUUUGGCAGUACGCUGGCUUCUUAGAGGGACUAUCGGCUCAAGCCGAUGGAAGUUUGAGGCAAUAACAGGUCUGUGAUGCCCUUAGAUGUUCUGGGCCGCACGCGCGCUACACUGACAGAGCCAGCGAGUUCUCCCUUGGCCGAAAGGUCCGGGUAAUCUUGUUAAACUCUGUCGUGCUGGGGAUAGACCAUUGCAAUUAUUGGUCUUCAACGAGGAAUUCCUAGUAAGCGCAAGUCAUCAGCUUGCGUUGAUUACGUCCCUGCCCUUUGUACACACCGCCCGUCGUUACUACCGAUUGAAUGGCU